rnacentral:rRNA from 1 species
UUUCCAGACUCCUACGGGAGGCAGCAGUGGGGAAUAUUGCACAAUGGGGGAAACCCUGAUGCAGCGACGCCGCGUGAGUGAAGAAGUAAUUCGUUAUGUAAAGCUCUAUCAGCAGGGAAGAAAAUGACGGUACCUGAGUAAGAAGCCCCGGCUAACUACGUGCCAGCAGCCGCGGUAAUACGUAGGGGGCAAGCGUUGUCCGGAUUUACUGGGUGUAAAGGGCGUGUAGCCGGGCUUACAAGUCAGAUGUGAAAUCCGGGGGCUCAACCCCCGAACUGCAUUUGAAACUGUAGGUCUUGAGUAUCGGAGAGGCAGGCGGAAUUCCUAGUGUAGCGGUGAAAUGCGUAGAUAUUAGGAGGAACACCAGUGGCGAAGGCGGCCUGCUGGACGACAACUGACGGUGAGGCGCGAAAGCGUGGGGAGCAAACAGGAUUAGAUACCCCCGUACA